AUGGGAAUUGUAGUACAAGGAAUCUUUCACAAACUGUGCNGCAGGAUUUGCUGGGGGUCUAGCCUGCUCUUACAAGCUUACAAAGUGACUUCCUUGCUAUUUCAGAAUGCAGGCAAGAGGUUACCCCACUUUCAGAAAAUCCGUGUCUGGGCAGGCAGCAGCACAGAUGGGAUGCCGGGACACGCUCCUCCCUGUAUNCCCUUUGCCCAAUUUCUUUCUAAAGCCCUGGAGGUUGUGCCCCCCCCCAGGCAGAGCGGAGGGCCAAGGAACCCCCGGCACGGGACACACAACAGCAGUCCCUCGCAGCCUGCCGGCGCAGCCCUGAGGGCGCCCCCCCAGCGGCCAGCAAAACACUCCAGGAGAGGUUCCCUUUGCCUCCCGCCCCGACCCCCACGCAAAAAGCCAAAGCUAUCACCACAGUUCCUGGGGAAAAUACCUGCUCAUAUUUUUGUGGGGAUGCCGUAUUCCACAUCUGCAAUGCAUCCCUGGCUGGAAACCUGGGGAAGUGCAGAACAUCAGACAGCCAUCACCGAAAUAAUGCAGCUCUCCCUCCCUCUCUUUAGGGAACCUUUGCCAACUGCACUGCCGUGGACAAGCCCUUUCUGCUACGGAGCCCUGGGACCUUNUGAUGAAGGGCAGGAUGCAAAUCCUUCAAUAAAUAAGAGAAUCCCCCUUCCCUCCUUCACAGCUCUGCCCAGAAAAGACUCGGCCAGGGAAGCAGGAAGUCAGGGAACCUGAUCGGCAGGUCUUGGUUGGAGCCGCUCAGGCAGCAAGAAAUAUCCAGUUGUGCAAUUCUGUAACAGAUGGAGAGGCUGUUUCCGUCCGUGCUCCACCUGCCAAUAUCUGCCAACAGCAAACUGCUACAUGAAGAGCAACAAGAAGAGUUAGCACUAAGAAGGGGAAGUACUUGUUCACCCAGAGGGUCAGCAGUCUGUGGAAUUUACAGUCUGUGGAAUUUACAGCAGAGGUGGUGACAGCAGUCAGCCCGGAUGGCUUUAAGAAAGGACUGGACAGAUUCACCGAGGUCAGGUGUACCAGUGGCUACAGAAUGGAUGCCUCGGUACCACCUCCAGGUUGGAGAGGCAGGCAGGAGGCCUCUAAAGGCCACUUGCAGGGAGUGGAGAGCAGGGGAAGGUUUUGCCAUAAUAUUCCACUUAAAAAUGCCCAGAAGCAAUUGGUGGGGCACAANGUAAGACAGGAUGUGGCCUAAUCCAGCAGGGCUCCUCUUAUGUUCUCAGGCCUUUAACACAGAAUCUGGCAGGAGGUUCUGCGCCACUAAGGUCCUNUUGGCACUAGGCCUUAUUCUGGAAUAUAUCCCGGAAUANAUNCCUGNCGCCUACAUGCUGGCGCAGACUACAGAAGGCCCCUNUUCNGGAAUACAUGCUGGAAUACGGCCCAGUGCAGAAAGAGCCUAAGACUGAGCAGAUUGCCAUAAGGUGGUAGCAGCCCCCAUCAGGAGGCAGCUCCCCCAGGAAAGAGCNGAGCCCCUGAGUGGAGAGUCCUUGUGUUACAACACCCCACAGGUGGUGGAUGCAGUCUGUUCCACCUUCCGACCGCAAGACCGUGUGGCCAAAGCGGUGCAAAGGGCUGCUUGACAAUCUGCUUCAGGCCCAGGCAGGUCAUUCCUCAGGAGUCACGGUUUUCAUGAUUUGCAACAGCCUCUCUGUUCCUUGUGCAACCUAUUCUGGCUAAGCGGGGAAGUCACAGAAUCAUAGAGUUGGNAGGGACCUCCAGGGUC
ensembl:lncRNA